UGCAUGAAAACAAAAUGUUUUUAUUUUUAAUCAGAUGUAACUUACUUUAAAGAAUCACUAUAAUGUCACAAACACAAACCUGUAUUUCAGACCCUAUAGCACUAAGAUCACUAUCUAGUCUCCAUUGCCCCCCUAAUUAUAGUAAAAUCUUUCUUUUAUUCCAGUCUCCUGGUGCUGGCUCUGCCACUGAUCUGCCGCCUUGGCUGACAUCAUCAGAAGUAAUGAUCUCAGCCAAUCACAAUGCUUUCUUAUAGGAAAACAUUGGAUUGGCUGAGAUGGUCAAUUGUGAUGUCUGCCAAGGAGGAGAGUUGUGGGUGUAGCCAAACACAGCCAUGUAGUGAAUCAAUCCAUCUCUAUGGGGAAAGUUGAGUGUCUCCAUACAGAGGGUGGAGACACUGAAUGUCAGUCACACUGUGCAGCACUGCCCGAGGGAGCACCUCUAGUAACCAUCUGAGGAGUGGACACUAAAAGUGUCCCUAGGUUGUAAUGUGAAAACAUUGACUUUUCUCUAAAAAGAAAGUAUUUACAUUCAAAUUUCUGAAGAGAAUGAUUAUAGUUACUAUAGAAAGUACAUUAAGCUGUAGUUGUUCUGGUGACCAGGGCCGCCAUCAGGGGGUGACAACCAUGGUGGUUGGCAUAGGCCUGGCUGUCCUGGGGGGCCCGGACUGCUUUGGCAGUCCCGGGCCCCACAUUCCCUCUCUGCACAUAUAUAUAGAGAUGAUUGCUAUAUAUAUGUGCAGCUGCGGGCCCCCGGCUCCCUGUUUUUGCAGAGGGGGCCCAGCAGACUGCAGCAGUACUUUACAGCUCUUACAGCUCUCGAACUCCCGCGAGACGUGUGGCCGUCAUCACGCUCGCCCCCUCUGCAAAUACAGGGAGUCGGGGGCCCCACAAUGCCACCGGACCACCAAUGAUGGAAUCUCCCCCCUCCCUGAACCAGGUAAGAAGCAGGGAAGAGGGAAUAACCUUUAUUAGAUUUAAUGUGGGGGAAAGGGAAAAUGCUCUAUUUGCACAACAUUCAUACACUAGUAAACACACACACACUACACUGACACACACUCUGCAUUCAUUACACUGACACACACUCUGCAUUCAUUACACUAACACACACUCUACAUUCAUUACCCUGACACACACUCUGCAUUCACUACCCUGACACACACUCUGCAUUCACUACCCUGACACACACUCUGCAGUCACUACACUGACACACACACUGCAUUCACUACCCUGACACACACUCUGCAUUCAUUACACUGACACACACUCUGCAUUCAUUACACUAACACACACUCUGCAUUCAUUACACUGACACACACUCUGCAUUCACUACACUGACACACACUCUGCAUUCACUACACUGACACACACUCUGCAUUCACUACACUGACACACACUCUGCAUUCACUACCCUGACACACACUCUGCAUUCACUACACUGACACACACACUGCAUUCACUACCCUGACACACACUCUGCAUUCACUACCCUGACACACACUCUGCAUUCACUACACUGACACACACUCUGCAUUCACUACACUGACACACAAUCUGAUUUCUGGUGGCAGCCCUGCUGGUGACUAUAGUGUCCCUUUAAAUGUUUUUAUCUCCUGCUCUGUAAAUUGAAUGUUGGUCACAUGCAGGAGUCUCCUGCAGGGUCUAAAAGGCUAUCAACAGAGCAGGAGAUGAGAAAUUCUAAAUAAACAGAAAUUCCAAUAAAGGAAGUGUAAACAUUAGAUAAUUAUUUGCAGGAAGUGUUAAGGAAGGCUGUGUAAGUCACAUACAGGGAGGUGUGACUAGGGCUGCAUAAACAAAGUGAUUUAAAUCCUAAAUGGCAGAGGAUUGAGCAGUGAGUCUGCAGAGGCAAGAUCUAU